CCUACGGGUGGCAGCAGUGAGGAAUAUUGGUCAAUGGACGGAAGUCUGAACCAGCCAUGCCGCGUGCAGGAAGACGGCCCUAUGAGUUGUAAACUGCUUUUGUACAAGGGUAAACCUGAAUACGUGUAUUCAGCUGAAAGUUCUGUACGAAUAAGGAUCGGCUAACUCCGUUCCAGCAGCCGCGGUAAUAAGGAGGAAUCAAGCGUUAUCCGGGUUUAUUGGGUUUAAAGGGUUCGUAGGCGGAUUGUUAAGUUAGAGGGGAAAUGUCCGAGCUUAACUCGGGAACUGCCUCUAAUACUGUUGAUCUAGAGAGUAGGUGCGGUAGGCGGAAUGUAUGGUGUAGCGGUGAAAUGCUUAGAGUUCAUACAGAACACCGAUUGCGAAGGCAGCUUACCAAUCUAUAUCUGACGUUGAGGCACGAAAGCGUGGGGAGCAAACAGGAUUAGAUACCCUUGUAGUC
rnacentral:rRNA from 1 species